GGUGGAGGAGGUGGUGGUGGUGGAACUUGAGCUGAAUCUUCCUCUUUAGGUCCACUGGAAAUGGAACAUGAGGGUCUUGGAACGGGAUUUGGAAUGCGCAAAGCCCUUUUCUCAACAUCUAAUGAUGACACUAUCUUAUUAUUCUCUAGGCAGUUUUCAAAGAUAUGGGGUCUUCGAUCCAUACCCAAACCAUACUUCUGAGAAGUUACUGGCUCAGCUUCCUUUUCCACUUCUUUUCCACACAUAAAACCAACAGAUUGCCGUCUCUUACUUGACACCCACUCUUCUGCACUGAACUUAGAUCCGCUUAUAGAGUGUCUUCUGCUUGGGCUUCUUCCUUCCUCUGAAUGGACCCAAUUUUUGUCAGGGCAUUCCAAGUUUGAAAAAUCCUCAUCAGUAAUAGGCCAUUUCUUCAACUUCUUAAUCAGAUUUAAUCUCUUUACACUGCUGUAUUCUAAAUACUCAUUGCUCCGCCAGGAGAAUGAGCCAACAGAUUCAUUACUUUUCUCUUCUGACUUCAGGCCAGAGGCCUUAUCAGAAUUUGUUGAGCAUGAAUUGCGCAACUCAUCUCUCAAACAUGAAUUGACCCACCUCAGGUAGGCAAGCUCCUCAACCUCAUUUAACCUGCUCAUCUGCAGACCCUCAACUUGUUUACACAAAUCUUCAUUUGUUAGUCUUAGCGAAGAUGCCUCAGCUUUAAUUUUCGCUACUAUUUCACUCUCAGAAGCCUUGGCAAAAGAAGUCAAUUGAGUCUCCAUAGAAGAUAGUUUGCAAGAAAGAUUCCUCUUCUCCAUCUGCAGUUCCUUGUUCAACCUUCUUAACUCCACAACUUCCAUUUCCAAAUUCCCCUUUGAACUCUCAUUGCCUUCCCUUUUCAAUAUCUCCUCAUGUUUCUUCUCUGAAAUUAAAUACAUCUCGGUCACUUGUUCACAGAGGACGCUUUUCUCCGACUCCAAAAGCCCGAUUUUCUGAUAAAGCUCAUCAACUUCAUUUUUCUUCGUUUCAAUCUCCCUUUCAAGAUCAAAGAACCUUCCAUUCCUUUUGAGCUCCGACACCUCUGCUUGCAACUUGAAUUCCCUUUCUUUCGAUUCCUGAAGCAAGCUUCUUAGUUGAUCUAAUUCCAGAAACAAAUCACGGGACCCUGAAGACUGUCUCCGGUGAUUAGCCUGGUAUGCAUGUGGGUGGACUUGGGUUGCUGUUACCGAGCAAGAAAGAUCACCAAUAAGUGAUCUUUUGACACGCGAAUGAGACGGCACCAGAGGGUUCUUUUGGCUUGUGGUGUCUGAAUUUGCUGGUGGAAUUUUCUUGCUUGUAACUGCAGUGGCUUGUGCCUUGAUCUUCUUAUCUGCUGUGAAGCCUUUAACAAUGUGAGAACCCCAUGAGGACCGGAGCUUCGAACCAUUGUUGUUAUUGCCUUUGACGUUGUUCUGUGGCUUUGGUGCUUGAUUUUGAUCGGCAAAUUUCAAUGCUUUAGAUUUGGAUUCAAAAGGGUUUUCUUCUCUCAUUGUAGGAAAACAAAAUUCAAAUGUACAUAAAAAGGCUACUCUGUUUCUGUGUUUCACAACCAAUUCGAAACUAGUUUUCGCCUCUCAAGUUUCAAGCUCUAUGAACUAAAACCCACAGAAAAGGACUUUUGCUCAAAUGAAGCUACAUAGAAGCUAAAAUGAGGCUUAAAAUUUUAGGUUUUCAUGUAGAUUUUGACAAAAACAAUGAGGUUCUGAGUGCGGAUUUGAAAUUUAAAGAGGAGCUGCC
rnacentral:misc_RNA from 1 species